rnacentral:sRNA from 1 species
UUGAUAGCCCUGAUAAACAUCCUCUAUUUAUCUACUAUACACAUCUAGGAUAGGCAGCAGAAAGCAUCAUCCCAUUCCUUCACCACUAUGUCUCAAAACUGACCUGGAGGGAUCACUUCUAGGGAUGAGAGAGGUGCUCCAGUUGAUCCUUUGCCGCU